AUUAGCCUUUCCUUUCAAAAGACAGAGAGAAAGAGAUCUAGAGAGAGAGAUGGAAAGAACAUCAUCUUCCUCUUCAAAGGAAGGAUACAACAGAGUAGCAUGGACUGCUCUUGAAGACAAAAUGCUCAUGGAUUACGUCUCCAUGCAUGGUGAAGGAAAAUGGGAUAGGGUUGCCAAAAAAAUAGGUAAAAUACUUCCUGCUCGUUAUACUUAUUUGGAAAUUAUGUGCUAAUUUUGGGAAAUUCUCUCUCUUUUACUAUAUUUCAGCAGUAUUUAAUUAAGGGAGCUCAUAUUGCCACUGGGGAAUUCUAACGUAACUGGUUUUGAAAAGGGCAACUAGAAAUUAUCCUUAUGUUUGGAAAUUAAAAUUUUAAAAAUUUAAUUCAACUGAAUUUUUUUAUUUAUUUUCAUAUUUGGAAAUCUGCGAAAGAAUUCAAUUAAUUUUUUAACUUAAUAAAAAUUUUAUUUUAAAAGAAAUAAAAAAUAAUAUAAUUAUGUGAAUAAUUGAAUUAAAUUCUUUCUUUUUAAAUGAUUUUUUUUUAAAUUCUUACAUUAUUAAAAGAAAAGGAUACUUUAACAAGACAUAUCAGUGACGCUAAUACUCUAAGAAAUAAUUUUUUAAAGUUGUUCUGGACUUCUUUUCAUGAAUUUUUGCUAUAUCUAUAAAAAGAAAUAUGUUCAAAAGGACUGUAAAGAAAUAUGAGAGAAGAAAAUAUUCAAUUUAGGAAACAAAGUAAAAUCAACUAAAAAAAAUCAUUUAUAUCUUUUUUUUUUUAUACAAUUGACCGUAAAGUAUAUCCUUUUAGUAUGAAAAAUUCUUGCGUAAAGCUGAUUUAUCAUAUAUCUAAGAUACAAAUAUGUAGAAUCUUUGAUUUAAUUGAUAGGUCUUACUAUAUAUUUUAUAUCUUGAAUCUAUUAUUAUACUCAUAGUUAUAUUUAUUAAUGAGAUGAAAUAUUG
rnacentral:misc_RNA from 1 species